UACGUAGGGUGCGAGCGUUGUCCGGAAUUAUUGGGCGUAAAGAGCUCGUAGGCGGUGUGUCGCGUCGGCCGUGAAAACCUGCAGCUUAACUGUGGGCUUGCGGUCGAUACGGGCAUCACUGGAGUUCGGCAGGGGAGACUGGAAUUCCUGGUGUAGCGGUGAAAUGCGCAGAUAUCAGGAGGAACACCGGUGGCGAAGGCGGGUCUCUGGGCAGUAACUGACGCUGAGGAGCGAAAAGCGUGGGGAGCGAACAGG
rnacentral:rRNA from 1 species